UCUAGUUUACUAUGCUAUUUCUCUAGGACUCUACUGAUCAAUAGAAAAUGAGGGGCAUUACAAGAGACAAGUGACUGAAGUCUGAGCAUGUGAGAGGUCAAUUCUAUUUAAAGCGGGGGGAAGAAGCAUUCUCUCUUGGAACAGGAAAAGAAAACGUCUUUCUACCAUACUUACUAAACCACAGGAUACUUCUACAUCUGCUGUAACUUCUGUGCCAAAGACAAGGUUACAGUUAUGCAACAGAUCUUUUACAAAGAAUAAAGUCCUGGAUUGCCUCAUGGGAAGCAAAGGACAUAUGCUGAUGCUCUACAGCUACUGAGUUGCUGCAGAGAUGAAUUUUUCUUGGACAGCAUUCUGUUGAGUAGGUUCUGGAAUCAUAUAAAACAGCCACUUGCAAAAAAAAGUAAAAUGGAAAAAUAAUUUGUAUAUUAUAG